UGGAAAACGGAAUUCACAUUGGAGUGGUGAGAAAGCUGUAGUAAUUAACGGAAAAUGCAGAAGUCACGUCAGUGUAGGGAAUUGGACGAAAGAUUACCGACCCUUUCCCGGUAUUAUCGCAGUGAAGUUUAUUUGAUAUUUCCUAGUUACAGAUACUGUGAUUCCACUCUGUAUUUUUAUUUUGUUUUAUUCUGUUUUUAUGAUUAUUAUUAUUAAAUUAAGGUAAUGAGUAGUUUAUGUCAUUUUUGAUUAAGCUGGUACCAAGUUUUAAUUUUGCCUGUGUACACUGAUUACACUGAGUUCAUACAAUGGGGCUAUGGACACAGGUUUCCCAAGUAGAUGCAGCACAAUACUCCUGCUACCUGAUUUCUCCCUGGUAUUUGCUUUCAAUGCAAUAAUAAAGUAAAGCCUACUCUCUUCUGCACUUCUCUAGGCAAUGAGGAAAUUAUUUUUUCUUUUUGAAGAAGAAAAUUUAUUCCUGUUGCACAUUUGUGUGUAAAACUAGAUCCAUGCUACAUUAAAGGCCUCAGUCUUCAGUAUUUCUAGCUGAGUUUUAGUUUUCAUGUUACAUUUGACUCUAAAAUCCAGUUACAUUUAUGCAUCUGACCAGAUUAAGCAGUCAAAAAUGUAAUGCUCUAGCUUACUCUUUAGACUGUAGUUCAAAGUCAAGAUGUUCAUUGGUGACUAGCUGCAUUCAUUUCAAAAAUUAUUUUCUAAUAGGUUCUGUUACAAGGUUUACUGUACUGGUGUAGAGCUGCUCCAAGGAUUUCCAGCCUCUUGAUUUACUCCAGAACGUGUUCUUCUACCCCCAGAUUCACCCCAUCCGCACUGCUAAAUGAAAAAGUUUUUGCGUUUCUGGUGUCUGUGUGGAGGACUCAGCAAGCAAACAGCGUGUCCUGGCAGGCAACAUCUGUGCUCUGCACCUGCUGGAAGAUAGUCAGUGCCAAGUGGUGGAAAGACAAUGACAUCUGAAUUUCUGCAAUGCGUGAUACAUGCAUAUCCUAAACAUAUGGAAAUAUCUGUGACUGCAGAUGACUACCUCCAGCUCCUUUUGAAAAGGAACGAAAUUAGUGGAACUUUCUAUGCCCUUUAAGGAGAGAUGUCAGAAAAAAAAGAUAAGUUUUGUGGGGGUUUUUCUGUUGUUUGGUUGGUUUGGGUUUCCUUGUUGGUUUGUUUUUAAAUGCAGAGUUAAUAGUUUUGUAGUCUUCAAAGUCUGUGUUGUCUAAAACACUGGUCAAAGUGGAUCAGUGAGACUCCACAGGAAGACUUGCUUGUUUUGUGCAAAGCUAAAUUUUAUCCCUUUCAUCUACGAAGAGAACUGUCCUUGCUGACACGUGAAGGGCCUUGUACAUCAUCUUCUGUGCCAAAGCUGCAAGAGGACUGUGGCUAUCACACUUAAUCUGUCUAUCAUCAUGUUUUGUAUUUCCUGACUUUGUUCAUCUCUGUUUACUUCUCAUCUGCAGCCUGGUUUCAAAUUUUUGUGACACUGAGUAAAUCCAGAAGAAGGUUUUUUUCCUGUACUGUUAAUAGUCUGUGCAGACUAUUCAAAUCCUUUUAGCACACUUUGUGAAGCUUUUUAAUAAAUAAUUUUUUUCAUUAAAAAAUUUAUAUCUUUCCUCCAGGCAAGAAAGAAGAUCUAUUCAAGAUCUUUCAGUAGUUGUUGGUUUGUUGUUGUCUGUUUGUUUGGAAACAUUUAUUUAUUCAAAGUGUUUUAUUUCAAGUACAUGUUAGCAAUCUCCACAGAUUAUUAACAGUGAAUCCGUUCCUCAAAAGGUAACAGUAAUUUAGUGAUAAUCAUUAGACCAGAAAUAUUCUUCUUUGUACUGAAAAAUUAAGCCAGAAAAGCUUUUUUUCUUAGGCUCACUGGAAAAUCAAGUUGAUUAAUUGCAAUGUGCUUAUCAAAACAUCUGCCCUUCAGAACUGGGCUGCAAAGUGAUGCCAUCUUCAUGCUGAGAUUACAGCUGGAUAUGAUGAUGCCAUCUACUCCACUGUCCAAUAACAUUCUUUUUCUAAUCUAACCAUGUUAUUCUUGGAUUGUUUGUAGCUGCAUUAUGAUCACUACUUUGCAUCCGUAGGUUGAGAGAUCGUUGUUGUAUUUGAAAUGUUACAAAAUACUUACUUUCCUCUAGAGUCCUGCACUUUCCAUGCAAGUGAAGCUGCUAAUAAGUUGACAUAAUAUACAUGCUUUUUGAUCUCAACCUCAUUUAAAACAAAACAAACAAAAACCCCCCCUGCAAAUUAUGGAGAACUGGAGAACUAAUUCUGGGUGAAAUCUCUAGAACUACACCCAGGUUUGCUUAUUCUGAAUUGAUUUGCCUGUUCACAGUGUCCUUAUGCUUCACAGUUGUCUUAUGAUCCACUUCAUAUCUAGACUGGUUUACUGUAGCGAGGAGUGGCAGCAGACAUUCCAAUGGCUGUAUGCAAUAUCAUAAGGGAACAGGAAUAUCAGAAAUGUGUGUGUGUAGAGCUAUCUAGAAUACAGGUUAGUCAGUUCUGUCCCCUUGUAAGCAAGAGAGCAUUUCUAACUUCUCUCAGAUACGAACAGAUAAAACAACUCUUUACCUCAUUACCAGCAAACAAAACUGUCCUCUAUGUAAAGGCAAACCCUCUGAAAAAGCUUCAAAAAGACUUGCACUCCACCUUUACCAUAAAUUUGGCCUAUGUCAUUUAAGCCCAUCUAUAUCUAUUAUUUUCAUAGCAUUUGCACACCUCUGGCACAUACAGCAGUCCAGAAGUGAGAUAUUUUGAACAUUUAAAAUGCAUUUUUUAUUAUAAAUUGCAUCCUGCUCGUGGAUAGCAAAGCAUUUUGUUGAUUGUUUGGGGAGCCAUUAAAGGUCUCUGAUUAUACAAUCAAGAAAGUCUCUGUGAAGACUUGUCACAGAUAUUUACUGAUUAUAUAAGGCAUCAUUCUAAUACUCAUUGUAGCCUACAAUAUAAGAAAGGUAUUUUUUUUGCCAAUUACUUGUGUAUCUGACCGUGUAAAGUAAUGAAGUCCAGCCAUUCAAAAUUUUGCUCAGAAUGGUUAAAAUAAUUCUAUCACCUGAAACUGAUGUGAAAUGAGGCAGAGCUGAAUUUACACCAGUUGGAUGGUACAGUUACUGUUACAGAAUUAUGAUGUUGAAUAGACAAGGGAGGAGUGUUCUAAAGAACUCAGAACCAUUUCCUCUGGAAACUUCCAUUUUCAAUGCUGCAGUGUGCAACAAAGAACAAAUAAAAUUACCAAGUAGGACAAAAAAGGGCUGUUCUUUACAAAAAAGAAAAGAGAAGAAAAGAAAAGAAAAGAAAACUAACUACAGUGCAAGAGAGAUUUCGGUUGACAGGCUAAAUACUGGCAUGUAAAAGCUGAAUUUAGCAUAGGUUCUCAGCACACACAUUACGGUAAUUAAUGGAAUGAAUCUAUCUUUAGCCAACCUGCAUCACCUCUUGAAUCCCUCUGUUUGACCUAAUACUGAGACAGAGACCUUUAAUUAGAAUGGUUUAUUAUAAGUGAGUCCAAGUGCACAGAGAGAUUAAGAAGCAGCAUGCAAGCAAAUGAGAGCAUAAUAACCAGACAGAGAUGCUCAGGUUUUAAUAGAAGAAAGUGACCAACCCCAAAAACUCUUCUGUAGAAACUUGGCAUUGAAUAAAUGACCCUGUGUGUAAUGGCAGCUACACUGUGAAAAGCUACACACGGGUUUACCCCUAAUUGGAAGCCAGAUAGCAAAGACUUUCUUUUUGGUGUAGGUUUAAUUACUUGGACGUUUUCUAGCAUAAAAACUGUACUGAAAGGAAAGAAGGCAAAGAAAAAAAAAAUAAUUAUCUGAAAGGAAUAUGAUUUAAAAAGAUGGUUUUCCCAAAUUUUAAAGUGGAAUUGGAUAAUGAAAAGAAAACACAAGUAUAAAUUCAGAUCUGGAUUGUACUGUGAAACCAAACUACGUUUCUAAACACCAUUAGAAACGUAGCCAUUCCUGUCUGUGAAAUUAAUUUUACAAAAAACUGAAGUUUUAAUUCUUACUCAUGUGCUCUAAAAUCUCUAGGUCAUUAAGUGCAUUUUGCAAUAAUCAUGUACAACAGCGAUCUCUGCCCUUUGCAAGCAUGUAAGGAAGAAAAAUAAUUGGAAUAUAGCAAUUUUGCUUUCUUUUUACCUAAGAGCUUAUCCAAACAUGUUAGGCAAAUCCUAUCUAAACAAGAUAAAAAUCCUUAUCUAUUUUAGCCUGAUGAGUGAAAAUAAAAUGGUUUGAGUUCAAACCAUCUACUUCAAAAAUAUUAAGACGUGUAAUAUACAGAAAUAGCAAGGUUGCAUUCAUUUUGUUUGUUACUAUUUUUCAGUAUUUUUGUCAAAAAUUCUCAAAGCACACACUCUGCAAACAUUUCACCUUUGUCAUAGAUGAAAGGUUUUCUUGCUAACCUCAGUAGACUGUGAGGGAGAGUGUGGCUCUUGUAGAAAAUCGUAGAGGGAGUUGGACUCAUUUGUAUCAAUAGGCAGGAACCUCUGCAUCUGCAGUUUAAAAUCUCCGGAAAAAUUUAGAAACAACUGAUGAUUGUUCUAAAGGUGAUGCAUGAAACUACUUCCUGAUGAUUUUUUAAGUUCUAUCUGUAUACUCUGAUCAUUUUUUUGAAUCCUAGAUAUAAUGAAUUUGUCUGCCAAAGCUACUAAUGUAGCUUCAUUUUUAACUGUACCUAAUUCUCCUUGAAAUGAAUGAAAGCAGCCUGUUCAUGUCUUUAUGAAGUGAAGAGUAUUCUGUAAAAUUUGAGGUGAGGACUCAGAGUUGUUUCUCUAUGCUGUUAGAUCUCCUUAUUUUCUAAUUUCUGAUGGUAAAGUAGAGGAGUAUAUGUGUAUUUUCAGUAGAAGCUAGAUCACCAAAAAAAUUCUCAGAACUCUGCAGUCAUGUCUGUGAUGUUUGCUUUCCAUCAUUUCCUUUUAUAUUGUUUCCUUUAUUUGUAUAUGGGUGGUUUACAGGAAGAGAAAUAGCCAUGGAUUCUUACUGGAGUUAGCAAGUACUUAAGAUCAAAAACAAUGUACUAGACGUGAACAGAGAGCCAGGCCAUUUAUCAGAAAUGGACCUUUUAGGGUAUUUACUGAAGUAUGCCUCUAUCUGGCAUUGCAAAAAGCCAUUAAGUAAUGAAAGCGCUUCAUCUGUUCCUUGAGUUAAAUUUGUCUUUGCUAGCAUUUUGGAUGCAAAGCAGGAAUACGGACAUGAUCAGCACAACUUCCCUGGGCUGUUGUCCUGGGCGAGGAUGCUGCACAGAGCAGCUGUCCGAGAGCAAAUCUCAUCCCCUCCUGGAUGGUUCCUUCCCCAACUUGCUGAGCCAUGAACAGGGCAAGGAGCUUUGCAGGUCACAGGGUAAAUGCUACUUUGAAGAGGUUCUCUGCUUCCUGAGAAACAUGCAGCCUUGCAGGGAAGUGUUCUCCCUUUUUCUUUUCUUUUCUUUUUUUAUUUUUUUAAUUCUUUUGAGCAGUACUAUUUUAAACCUGAAUCAUUUUCUCAGAUGAAGAUGACGAAGCAGCUUACAGUGUGACGCUGCCAACACAUUACAUAAGCAAUGUAGAUGCAUAAAAGAAUAGUUUGAUGGUAAAGAGUUUCUGCUUUUAAACACCGUUGAAUGCAUAAGGAUCUACUAUGCCAGUAAUCUAGCAUUACAUAGUUUCAGACUCCAUAAAUUAACUUCUGUUUCAUUAUAAUGAAGCUUUUCUUCUGAUUAUUGUACACAGUUCUGGCACAUAAAUUCUGGAUUAGACUGGUAGCAAAUAUUAGGUGUGAUGUCGUUCUUGAAAAAACUGUUUUCUGACGUCUUCAUGAAGAUUAACAUCACGGUAUAAUGACGACCUAGACAGAAGUAAAGUAAUACCUAUUAGUACCUUCAACAGUAAUUUCUUUUUCACAUAAGACAAGAUGUGCAGAGGCAAACCUUUGCUUAUACUAGCAUUACCUAGUAAGAGCAUACAAUUUUGUUGUCAAUGUGAUUAUUGGAAUUGGUUUAUGAGGCUGCGAAUCUAACUGUGGGAUAUGUUAGCAUUCUACGAUUCCACUAUGAAUCCCACUCAUUGUUUCCUCCCAUUUUUCUGUGGUGGUGUUUUGUUUUGUUUUUGCACAUUAUUUUAAGGAAUAAGUGCAAAUUGUUGCUAUCUAACAAAAGCUACUGUUGAGAGCUCUCUGAAAUGUAAGUAUGGCUUACAGUAGCCCAUAAUUACCAUAAUCUGUUUAAUAUCAAGUGUCAUGUAAAUCUGCAUUGCUUUACAGCAUAUUCUGAUUUCAUGUAAGUAUAUCUUCAAGCCUAGACUGAAACCUAAAAUGUGAUUAGUAUAAUUUUCUGGGUUAACAAAAUUGGUGGAGAGGCCACAGCAGCCAUAAAGCCUGCAUAACUGCUGUAUGAAAUCCUGAGAUUAAAAUAUUUUGGUUCAGAUUCACAUAGAGUAAUUCCAGGCAGUCCUACAGUGCUGCACAAAUUGCAGCCAGUCUGAGCAAGCCAAAAAUGCCUUGCAUUUGCAUGUCAGAAAUGUAAUUUAUGAAUCCUGCUUUAUGAUCAAGCUAUUGAAUGUGAAGAUUGAGAAAUCUAUUUGGUGUUCUCAUAGGUGAGCUUUCAGGAGCACACAACGUUGAGUAAACUUUCUUGGAACUGCUUGUAGCUCAAAGGCCUUGAAAAGCCAGUCUGCUUUUCCUCACAAACCCCAGUGAACAUGAGAGUUAGCAUUCAAUCGUCAUGACAUCAGAGCUGCCAUUUGAGAGUGAUGGUGGUGGAGAACUCAUCCAGGAAGUUCAAAGGGAACUGAAAGGCAAAGGGAAUCGUUUCUGUCUCACCUUGUUGAUUACAAACCAGUUGGACUAAAGCAGGAACGCCAAGCAUAGCACGGUCAUGCAAACGUGUGUGAGCUGGAAAGCCGUGGUUGCUGAGGGCUGCUUAUCCCAUUUGCUGUACAAUGUCACCAAACAGAGCCAGGAGCAGAGGAGCUGUGUGCUCCUGAGACAAAUAGGAAAUUGGAACCCCAGUGACAUGGUGAGUCUUGAGUCAUGAUGAGCUGGUGAGGGCUGCUGGGGCUUCAGGAAGUCUCCUCCUCACCUGGCAAGAUCUACAGGGCUGGUCAGACUUCCAGAGCAUGUUUCCAGCAGCAGAAUUUAGAACUUGCUUAAGGAAAAGAAGGGGGAUGGAAUUAGAGUAGCAGGGGACUUCUUGUCAGAAACUCCCAAGAUGAUCUCUGCAAGGCUUUGUGUGCUUUGUGCCCAACAGGCUUCUCAAGGUCUCCACAUCAUCCACUGCUGGCUUUGGCAGGGGGAGGAAGGCUGGUCACAUGCCAGCCCUCAGAGUGCCCAUCUGAAAACCUCAUUCAGCAGCUGAAGGAUAACUCACCUCCAUAUUUAUUAGGGGGUGUUACAAGAGAGGUGAAACUUAAUCUUUCUGUAAGAAUGAUUUUAGCUGAAACUUGCUAACACAAUUUGCCCCUAGGCUGGUACAAAGUAGGAAAAUAUCACCCAAGAGGGAUACUGUUUCAGAAAGUUGUCUACAUGAAAGAACCUGAAAGUUAUAAUGACGUUCCUGACAUAACCUUAACAGCUUGUGCUACCUGGAGCUUGCUAUAAUAAUGCAUCUUAUCUGACCCAAAUCCAACAACAAAUAAUUUUGUUCUCUUUUCCUGUGCAUUUUGCUGCUGGCUACACAUAAAAUUGAGUAUGUUCCAUUCAAAGAAUAUUAGUAUCUAGAUACCAAUUAUUCAUCCACUUGUAGGUACAAACAGACUAGCAAAGGGUAUUUCCUGAACGUAAUGACUUCAUUAAGCAAACUGGAAUGCAAAUAGCUCAGUAUUACUGAAACAAAGAGUUUUCAUAAGUUGAAGAGCAACGUAAGUGUGAGUGCUUCACUUUCAUGGAACAAAAUUGUGACUCUUUUGAUAAACGUUAUCACAAGACCAAACUGGGUGCAAUUAAAAUGUGUCUUGACUUAUGUAGUUGUGGAUAUGGUAUAAACUCUUGGAGCUAUUUUUCUCAUGUUUAUCAAAAGAGAAGGAAUCUUAAUUCAUAAUUUAUAAGCAUAGACGUUCCUGUGAGUGUGACUGCAGGCUGCUGUGCUACCUUUGUGACCAGCAGACAGUACUAAGCAGAAGCAGCAGCAUCCCUUCUGGAGAUAAAUGUUCUCCCCUCUAUCCCCCCCGUCACAUCAUAAGUAAUUUCUUUUAGAAAUCUUUGGAUUGCUAAGUCUUUUGCCCUCUGACCCACAGGACAUUAGCUGGUCAUCUCCACACUGUUUUACAGAUGAAAAGACUGGAAAUAACACCUAUAUGUCUUCAUUGCUCCAUGUUGACAGGGCAGAGACGGCCUCUAUCGAUCAGUACAUCUAACAGUGGUAAUAAGAAUGUAAACUCAACCUCGUGCUGCUUUCCAUCAAAGCAAUGCAAGUCGAGCUUUCCUUUUGCACAGGCCUGCAAUCACCUCUCAAGUUGUCAAUAUAUCCUGAUAGAGCUUUUAGACACUUAUCAAUAUUUAACUACACUUCUAUUGACUCAGCAAUUACGCAAUUGAUUUAAGAUUGAUUACCAUUAUAUUAAUAUUUUAGUGGUCAAAGGCUAAUAAAACUAACUGAAUGUGAAAUUAUUUUAGAUUUUUAUUACCUUUGUGCAUGCCCAUGACUGUUACUUUCCAUCCGAUUUUAAGUUUUACCUAAUCUUAUAUUGUUCACCGGAAAGUAGUUGAAGAUAUUUUUAAUAGCCGUAUUAUUUUUCCAGAAUCAAGCCAUAUUUGCAUAGCACUUUUUUUAAAAAAACUAAAAUAUCUGAAUGUAGCUCUUCAGAAUAUUUUGUUAUUAGUGAAAACAUAGAAGUGGUGGGUACAGGAAGACAGCAUAAGAGGCAGUUAGCUGAAGGAUGAGACAACAGAAUUAUUUUGUCAGCUGUAGUAUUGUGUGUGUGAGGGCUGGUUUUGAUGAAUGAUUUUUUUCAUGAAUCAGUUAUAUUGAUUUCUUGCUUGGAGAGGUCUCAGGCGUAGGCAGAGCUCUAACAGGUUUGAGCUCUGCUAGCUGUGGUGUAAAUAAAUAUUAGCCAAGGAAAAUAUCCGAUAAAUAAAACCAAGACCGUAGAAAGAUGGAUUCUUUUUCAGUAUGACAGUGGUUAACUCAGUCCUAUUGAUUCUGUUAAUGCUUUGGGUGUGUGAGGUGGAUCCGGAGGCUGAGAAGCCACAAUCCACGUUGUGAGAGCAGCAGCACAGGAGGGCAGGGUAUCUGCAGCCUGCACCCACUCGGGGUUAUGCAUGUCAGACAGAAGCUCAAAAGUCAAAUAAAGGACUGUUUUUUGGAGCAACUGAAAUAGAAAACCAAUUGAACCCUGGGAAGAGGAGGGAAUGGGCUACAAGUAUUUUGGAACUGUCACUUCAUUUCCUGCCCAGUCUUUUCUGAAAAUGAUGGAGAUUACCUUAAGAAAAUCUAGCACUUCGUUCUUUUUUCUAUCUUUUGUCUUGACUUAACUUACUGGGGCUCUUUCCAAGAAGCCACUUCUGAAACUUUUUUGUGAGAUAUAGACUCGCUCCUCUUACAAACAGAUCUAGAAACCUGAGUUUUGGAUGGAUAUUCUCUCUCUGGUUGCUGAUUAGAACUAAAAUGAAACAUGAUGAGCUACCGGAAUUCUCAGUCUUCAAGUUGUGUCCUGUAGCAUCACCCCAGACUCCUGCAAAACAUAAGCAGUGAUGCCGUCCAGCUUUUGAUCUACCUCCUCUUCUCAUCCUGCCACUUCCCAUCACCAUCUGUGAUCUAGGUGGCCAGAUAAUAGUACUCUCCUUUCUCAGACGGCUUUUAAUGAGGGUUAGCUGGUGAUAGAUGUGAUUAAUGAUGCAUUCUUUAUUAUUGCUACAACCUUACAAGUCAUAAUUGUUUAAAUAAUCAGUCUACCUAUUUCUGUUUUGAUUUCUUACAAAAUAUCUUUUAAAAUUAAUAAAUAAAUAAAAUUUAACAUAGCAACAAAGUCUUCGGUACAAACUGAUCAGGCGAAGUGUGAACCUGCAGCUAAGGGGAUAGUGACUCUUCCUGUUCGUGUCUCAGGCCCAUGUUAACAAAAGAAGGGGAAAGAAAGACUGUACAUUGCAUUUUAUUAUGUGUCAUAAUUUCCUGUUUCCAAAAGUAUCCUCGACUCAGUUUCUCUACUUUAGUAUAACAGAAGACCCAGAAGCAGCAGUUUUGCAUGACAGAUUGGACUGUUACAGCCAGUCUUGUAAUUAGGACAGAAGGUAGGUGUCUUAGAUCCACAUUUAGGGAAAGAGUGACGAGAGAUUAAUUGUGGUCUACUGAAAUUCUAAAUUCAUCCUGGGUGAAAAUUUUCUACACAGCAUUCCAGAGUGGAAGGAGUCCAGUGCAUUUGUGAAACAACUCGAGUGUGCUAAACUGCCAUACCAACCUCAUACAAAUCUAAGGGCCCAAAUACGUUUUAAAUAUAAUUAUUCUAGAGCUAAGACCUUAAGGAAGGCUUUGAGGGCCAUGUCUGUGAAACACAAAUUGAAGUUGUCAUUGAAGUUCAUGUAUAGACAGAGAAUUUAGUCAAGUAGAACCCACAUAAGCAACGCCUUCUUAAAUUGCCUCAGGUAUCAACAAGUAAAAAGUGCUUUUAGAAUCUCCAUAUUUCAUUUUACUUUUGGACACCGUUUCUUUUAAGGACCUCAAAUAUAAAAAGUAUUCCACUAUGUUUUAAGUUUUUAAUUUUUAAUUCCUUCUGUAUUGGCUAGCAGUUGUCACAGUAGGUUUUUAAAAAUAUUUAAUUAUGCAUGCUAACGAACAAUACUUGGAUAGAUGGUUACAAAUCUAUUUUUUUCCUCCAUUUGAGAUAUUAAAUUAAUUGACAUUCAUUUGCAUUAUAGAAUAUUGUAAUAAUUUUAAUAAUAUGCUGUGAGUUGCUGAAGUGACGUAAAAGGGGAGGUGGCCUUUCCUCAUUAGUCUAUUUCAGGACAGCAGUGUAACUUCAGGGAAUACCAUUCAGAGCCAUUUAAAUAUACAUCAUUUUUUGUUGUUUUUGAAAAUAAUCAGAGGUCUUCUUUCACAAAGUAGCCUGAUGAAGACAAGUGGGGUCACAGCUGACAAAGGUAAGUGUUUCUUCGCUACUGAGAAACCCAUCUGGUAAUGAAGUGUUCAGUUUAAUCCAGACUUUUUGUUCUGAGCUUUGGGAAAUUUGUUUUUGCUCACUAAGAGAUUUAGAGCAAAAACAAAAAACAGAAACAAUCCUGCCCUCUUGUCUGAGUAAACCAUGUAACAUACCAACAAAAACAGACAAAGAAAAAACAGCUGCAGAUAAUCACUGUCAGAAGUACUGCACUACUUUUCUAUACCAUCCAUUGCUAAAUCUAUCUUCAAAUGAUUAUAGCUUUAUGAUCAGCUAAUUAGGAACACUCAUUAUAAUUUUCAUUGGCUGUUAGCAAAAUAUUACAUCUGGAUAAUUUAAUGCAAGCUACUCCAUGAACGCUUGCUUAAAAUAACACACAAACAAAUUAAACAGUACAGAUAUCUCAUUUCAUGACAAUAUCAUUAACAUCAUUUUAAAACUGCUAGUAGAAACAAACUAAAACAACAUAAAAUAGGGCCACAGAAAUGAUCCAGGGGAUGGAAGACCUUCCCUACAAGGACUCUCUGAGAGCUGGGGCUGUUUGUCCUGGAGGAGAGAAGGCUCUGAGGUGACCUGAUAGCAACCUUUAGUAGUUUAGAUAGUACCUAAAGGGAAGGGGGACUAUAACAAAGAAGGGAACAGACUCUUUAGAUCGAUCUGCUGUGAUAGGACAAGAGGAAAUCGUUUCAAACUAAAAGAGAGAAGAUUUAGAUCAGAUAUAAGGAAGAGGUUUUUUACAAGAAGGGUAGUGGUAAGGCACUGGAACAGGUUGCCUGGAGAGGUGAUGGAAUGCCUCAUCCUUGGAGACAUUUAAAGUCAGGCUGGACAGGGCUCUAAGCACGUGAUGGAGCUGUAGGUGUCCCUGUUUAUUGCAGGGAAAUUGGACUAGAGGACUUUUAGGGGUCCCUUCCAAGCAGAAGAUUCUAUGAUUCUAUGAAAAUGUCUAAUGUAGAGUCUUAAUCUUCACAAACAUAUUAUCUUUAUUUCUGUGUAAGAUCUCCUUUCAGUAGAUUUUUGCUCCACAUUUUUCCCUGUUGGGAUGGAUGACAGCUGAAAUAUUUCCUUUUAUUUCAUAUACAUAAAAUUAAAUAAGGAGUCAUUUUUAUAAACUUAGUUUACUGCUUGUGUUCUUCAUGUAUUACUCCUGACCAAACAGGCCUUAUAUGCACUUAAGAAAUGAAUGCAAACUAUUAAGUGUCCUGAAAACAUUGCAAUGGCUUGGCAGUUUGUUUCAGUGAAGAUCCUGUCCGGACACCCAAUAAUUAUGGAAUAAUUUUUAGCCAUAAAAUGGCAGUAAAAACAGGUGGCUCUUUGCUAAUACUCAAGGAGUGCUUCAUGUGUGGUGUCAAGUGGAGAGGGGCAAAAGAGGAGAAAAAUAAAGGGGGGGAGAGGGGGAGAGGAGAUGAGGAAUGGAAUAAAAAAGUAAGAGGAAAUUGAGGGAAGGACGAAAUGGGAUUGUUGAAAGAGAGAGAAUAGUAAGUGGGCAGAAUCUGAUAAAUUGUAGAGAACAUCAAAAUGAUGAAAGAAAUGGAGGGUGAAGACAGAACUGAGAAAAAAAGGAAAGCAGAAGGACAGGGAAAGUGAGAGGUGACUAGUUCAGCUCUCUUAGCUGUUAAUCCCAGUGGUUCUAGCACUCAGCAGUCCUCCCUCCCACAGGAUGGUUUCAUAUUUCCCACCUCACCACAAAGGUAAAAGCACUAUCUCUGUUUUUAAAUUCUUACAGAAUCUAAAACUUGGAGUCAACUGUAACUACAGCAUGAGUUUAUAAAUCUUUUAAGAAUAGACCUCGUUAAUUGUCUGGAAUAAAAAUAGAUGUUCUUUAAUUACUCUUACUGGCUUUUCUUUGUUAUAAAUUUCCACCAAAUGGUGAGCUGCACAUAUGAUAAAGUUGUCCUUCCUAGGAAAUGAUUGUUAUAAUUGUGGAAACAGGGAUAUGGCUAUUCUUUUGAAACCGUCUCCUUAGGAUAGAAGAAAAAAAAAAAAAACAUGGGCUGACUCAAAACUUGUCAGUUUUGAUGUGUUUCAGUUUUAUCUCAAAGAGGAGUAAUUGUUAAAUUGUCAGGUCAAAUACAAUAGCCAUAAAACUGUGACUACAGUUUGAGAGCCAAAAGGAGAAGCUAAACGUCUGAAGAGAGAAAGAAAUGAAAGAUAGAUCUUAAGCUGAGUGAAAAUAAUUGAUUAAUAUUGAUAGAUUUCAUUCUAGCAGUGAGUCAAAAAAAUAUCUUUCAAGUGUGCAAUUGUGAACCUGUGUAUAUUAUUUAUACAAUUAUUACUAUUAUUAAAACGAUGUCAUAAUGACUGAGUUAAUAAGUGGAAGGUUAAUCCUAGGUAUAUUGAAUACAGUGUAGAAACAUGCCUACCAAUCUGACUUAUUGAGUACAAAUUCUUCAGAAUAUUGCAUGUCCUUUGUAGGGGCUCAUUGGAUUGGGUUUAGAUGAUUGAAGUAACGACAACAAACAAAACUUGAUGCAACAGAAAGUUAUCUAAACAACAAGAACAAAACAGAAAUGAUGCUGAAGGGAGUUAUGACCACAAUAAGUAAUGGAAGAAUUACCAUUAUGAAGGCAAAAUAUAGCAGAAUUACCCUGAGCAACUUCUCAGAAACUGUUGUGAGUUAGUAACAUCUCAGCACAAUGCUGCAUUGACUCUGAAGGUUGUUUUGCCUGUUGGGCUGUCACCGAGCCUAGGCAUUCUAUCUACAUGGGAUGUCUGGACUCCCACUGGAAACCAUGGAAUCUCUUGCUGAAGUUGCACCAUGGUGCCUGCUUCCACUUUAUCUUAACUCCGAAAUAAUUUUUCCAUAAAUUUGCUUUUGAGAAAAGAUGACAUAAAUAUUUACGUAUGUACCCCCACGGGAGAAUUGCUAGCUCUCAAUUAGGAGCUUCUUAAAUGUUUGUUUUUUUAAUGCAAUUCUUUAAAAAAGGGGGCAAGGAAUCUACGUCUUUAUUUAAAAAUGCUUUUAAAAUUGCUUUAUGUAGCUGCCUGUAUUUUAGUUUUGAUUUAUUCACUAAAUUUUGCAGUAUAUUUCAGUGUAUUUUUUUUUCAGAUAGAAUAUUUCAAGACAAAAAAAAACUAUCUUUGCAGGUCAGGCAGAACAGUCAUGAGCGAGAGUGGCCAUUUCCUUUAUAUUUGAACUUCGCUUUCUUGAUCAUUUCCGUAAUCUCUAUCAAUUUACCUGUCUGUGCCUCCGCUUGUAGCAUUGACCUUGACGUUUUGUAAUAGAUGUCUCAUAUGGCCUUUGCUCUUUCCUUUUCUCUCCUUUAAUUUCCAUGGUUAUCCCCACUGGUGGUUUUCUUCUUUUAUAGCCUAUUUAUUUCCCAGUGAUAUGUUCUUCCUUGGACUCCCAUCUAAUUAAAGCUGUACUGUCAACUUGAAAAUCACAUUUCCAUCUGAGAAUGUUGUGUCUUCUCUUGUUAUAAGAAGCUCUUGCGAUGACUCUAACAGGCAGAGCCGAUUUGGGGUUUUUUUCCCCUUCUUUUUUCUCAUUUUGCUUACCUUGUGUAACAUCUCAGCAUUAUCUGUGUGUCUGGUAUUUCUGGUACCUGAGAGGGUCCUGCCACUAUCUGUUUGGGCAGGAGGAGAGGAAUGACGUUUUUUUCCUCCCUGCAUUUCCUUUGUGGCCUUUCAGGAAUACACGAUUCAAGAGCUGAAUGAAAGAAUCUGUAUUACGAGGCUCCUUCAAAGGAAAAUUAAGCUCAAGACCUGCUGCUCUGGUUGUCAGGGAGAGGCGAGGAUGUGUGGGGGCAAUUCUGCAAAGUGUCUAUUAAAGCUUUCACGGCUUCUGAAAAUAUGAGUACUUCUGUUCAUUUCAUAUUUUUCCCUGCUCUGCCAUUCUGUACUUAUCUCAGUAAAUAUGGCCCUCUCAAAUAAACAGUGUGGAAUAAAGAAAAGUUUUUUGGAUUUCAAGUAUUCUCCGUUAAGAGAGAAAUUACUCCUGAUGCACCAAAGCUGUAUAUUAAGGAAAGAGAUUGAGUUUGUUUGCUGGUUUGUUUUUAAUUUCAGAUUUUGAAACCUCAUCUAAGAUGGUUUUAUGCUGUCAUCUCUUACUCAGUUUGGCAGAUGCAAUUAUUAUUGUAUCAUUCAGAAGAUAUUGUAUGUUAGAUAGUACAAACCAAUUUAAAAAUAGACACUGAAAAUAGUAGGAAUAGUACUGUCUUUGUCUUAUUAUGAAUAUAUACAUAUUGAUGUGUGAUUACGAGACAGAGAAAAUACAGAACAAAUUUUGAAAAUAUGGAAGUGAUUUAUAUUUGGUAUUAAGCUGUGGUCAUCAUAAAUUAUAGGGGUGGGUUGCAGUCAUGCAACAGUUCAUAAGAGCAUUUAAUUCAUCUGCUCAGAUUCACAUGGCUUUUUUUUUUUUGAAUAAAAAUAAAAAAUCACAAUCUUUUACAGUAUCGCUGGUGGUGAAUACAGAUUGAGUUGUUGUAGCACUUAAUGUUGCUUAACACUGCAAGGUAAGGCAGGCAGGUACAGGCUUAAGGAGUUGUCUGUGUGACAGGAAGAAGAAAAUUUACUUAAGAGAAUUCCAGGUUUUCUCUGGAGGUUUUGCACCACUCAUAUCUUGGCAGCAGACUCAGCCAUGACUUUCCUUUUCUUUCUUGCUCAAAGGUACUGAACUUAGAAGUUUUUACUCUACAGGUUGAAGGGGUUUUUGAAAACGUUUUGUCAGAAAACCUGUACAGUGCAGACAUCCACUGAGUUAUGGCAUGAACGAGGAAUUUCUCCACACUAGUAUAAUGAAUUAAAUUGCCUACAUUUUUCAAUAGUCAUGUUUAUCAGUACUACCUGAUGAACUGAAACUACAGUUCUUGGCAAAAGACCUCUUAUCAAAGUAAUUUGCAAACUUGCCCCCAGUUUAGAUAGUUCUGUGCAUUAUGGUAAGAAUAAAUGCUCUCUGGCUUCAUAUUAGGCCUUUCUAAGUGUAUUGAUUGCUGUAUUGAAAAAUAUGUUAAUAAACAGACAUGAAUUUACAAAGAUCUGGAAAUCAAUGUCUUUCCCAGCGUGGGGAUGAAUCUGGGAGGCACUUGGUCAGUGUUAAAUGUGUGUUUACUGGAGGGAGUUAUCAGUGCUUUUCCUCAUGCAUUGUCACAGCUGUUACUCCCUAGCAGGAUUUCUAUUCCUAUUCUGGAAGUGCUGUGUCAG
rnacentral:lncRNA from 1 species